GUGAGGAAUAUUGCACAAUGGGCGAAAGCCUGAUGCAGCAACGCCGCGUGAGGGACGAAGGCCUUCGGGUCGUAAACCUCUUUUCUGGGGGAAGAGCAAGGACGGUACCUCAGGAAUAAGUCUCGGCUAACUACGUGCCAGCAGCCGCGGUAACACGUAGGAGGCGAGCGUUAUCCGGAUUUACUGGGCGUAAAGCGCGCGCAGGCGGCUUCGUUAGUCGGACGUGAAAGCUCCUGGCUUAACUGGGAGAGGCCGUUCGAUACUGCGAGGCUUGAGGUUGGGAGAGGGGUGUGGAAUUCCCGGUGUAGUGGUGGAAUGCGUAGAUAUCGGGAGGAACACCUGUGGCGAAAGCGGCACCCUGGCCCACACCUGACGCUGAGGUGCGAAAGCGUGGGGAGCAAACAGGAUUAGAUACCCGAGUAGUCC
rnacentral:rRNA from 1 species